CCCUCUGCACAUUCAAGAUAGCAACGAAAACACUGAGCUUUAAUGAUUCAUAUUCCACCAACGCCUAGUAAGAUUUUCCUUCAAACUCCAGCCUUCCCACUCAGGGGAUUCCCUAGUGGGCGUACGCAAGGCAUGCAUUACAAGGUAGAAGGGACACAGCGCACGGGGACUCUGCACCCUCUCGCGAGGGAGGUCCUCACCUAAACCUGCUCCCCACGCCCUCUCGGGUCCCGCGAACACCGUGCAACUCAGAUGCGAAACCGGGUAUGCGAGACGCGUAGCUGGACGGGGAGGGCUGUGCAUCACGUAGCCAGUCUGGCCCGCUGCAAACUUCUCAGCGCUUAAGUUACACGCACUGCAAUUCCACACUUGACAGCUGAGCCCGGAGAGUACGUCCGCUGCCGCAGCGCAGCCGCCCUGGGGCCGGCGGCACAUCCUGCGGUCGGCGCGCACGGGGCACGGGGCAGGGGGGAGUCGCGGCGCUCACCUUUUCCAGCUCGUCGUGGAGCUCGGCCAGGCUGGGCCGGAGCAGCUUCUCGCCCAGCUGCGCGGCCGUGUGCCGGUAGUGGUCGAUCCUGGGCACCGCGUCCAUGGUGUUGUGGCCGAAGGUGCGCAGGUAGUAGGUGUUGGUGUGGGUGUCGUAGUAGUACUGCGGGUGGUGCCCGCUGCCGCCGCCCGAGUGCAGGCUGCUGCCGUCGCUCAGCACCGUGUCCCCGCCGUUCUGGAAGCUCACGUUGGGCCCGUCGCCUCCGACUCCCGCCGCAUCCGACAGGCUGUCAUCGGCCGACGAGGAGGCGGCCGGGUCCACGAAGUUCACGCGGAAACGGCCCUUGGCUUCCUCGCUGCCCUUGGCCGACCCGCUCUCGCCGCUGCCUUUACCGUCCGCGGGGGUCUCCUCGCCCGCCGCCCCGGCUCCGGCCGCCGCCGCCGCCGCCGCCGCCGCGGCCCGCCCGGCGUUCUCGGAAACCAGGUCCACCUGGAAGCGGCUCUGGCUCGGGGUGGGCCCCAAAGGUCUGCCCAGUCCGUCCCCGGCCGCCGCGGCGCCCUCGCCGCGGACCCCGCCUCCGCCACCCCGGCUCGCAGCCGCAGCAUCCUCCGGCACCGAGGGCAUCGCCGUGCCGGGCAGGUCCACCACGGCGGCGGCCGGCCUCGGGGCGCCGGAGGAGGGCGCCGUGGGCCCCGGCUCCAUCGCCGCCCGACCCUCGGCGGACCUGCGGCGCCUGGCGAACGUUGCGCGGUGCGCGCCUUCGCGCUCCGGGCCGGCGGGGGCCGCCGCUGCAGAGCCGGGUGAGGGAGGCGCUCGCCCGACCCGCACGAAAGCCACCAGCUGGCCGAGCACCGCGCGAGUGUAGCCGGAGCGGGGCGGGCCCGCCGUUUAAAGGCUCGGCGGGGCCGCGGCGGCCGCUCGGGCUGCCGCACGCGGGAGGCGGGGCCGGCGGCUCUCCCGCCCCUCAGCCCGCCCACCCGCGGUCCCGCAGUGGCGCGCGACGGACGCUCCCUGGGCACCCCGGCCCUCCCGGGCUUCUGCGCGACCCCGCGCGACAGCUGCCCGCGUUCCGCCCGUCUCCGCCCCGCCUGCGGCUGCGCGAGCACCGCGUCUGAAGAGCAGGCACGGCCGCACGCCGCCUCACCGCCGUCGCCGGGAAGCUCUCCGCGCCGCUACCUCCUCUUCCGUCGCCCUCCUCCCUCCCCCGCCGCGUUCUGCGGCGGAGAGGAGCGGGUCCCAGCCGCCUUCUCUUCUCCACGCCCCGGGGCGGUGCGUCAGUGGACCGGCAGCCCAGGCCGCGGGUUCAGCGCACGCCGGCGGCGGCUUCGAAGGCUC
rnacentral:lncRNA from 1 species